rnacentral:sRNA from 1 species
AAAAUGCGGGCAAUUAUUUCGGUUGCUAAGUCGAUUCUGGGCAAUCGACGUGGCGACGACGAGAGUCUCUACACUGGCGCUGGACCUGCCGGAUCGGGAGCUUCCCACUCGUUUCGUGUCUAUAUUCAUGGAAAUCGCAAGAAAAAUGAGCUCGUUCAUGGUGUGUGGGCUUUUUUUGCGAAGGAAUUGGCCUAGAAUAGUCGAAAAGUCGAAAAAUUCAAGUUUCCUCCAAAAUGGAUGCUGCCGGACCAAUCAGCAUCGUCAAACUCCGCCCAGUUUAUCUUAUUGGUUGAAAAGUGGGCGGAGCAAGUCGCUGAUUGGUCGUGGAGCUCUACUUUUGGAGGGAGUUCAAAAAAUGGUUUUUUUAACCAAAAAUUCAAUUUUUUUGCAGCCUGGCUUCGCGUGACCCGAACCACAAUCACGCUGGAGAUCUCGAAAAAGGAAUGCCUAGUAUGGCCGCUGCCACUGAUCCGCCGAUACGGAUACACUUCUGCCGGAAUUUUCUUCUUCGAAUCUGGAAGACGGUGCGAGUCUGGAGAGGGAAUGUUCACGUUUCAGAGCAAAAAAGCUGAUGAGAUAUUUCAGG